rnacentral:rRNA from 1 species
GACGAACGCUGGCGGCGUGCCUAAUACAUGCAAGUAGAACGCUGAAGGAGGAGCUUGCUUCUCUGGAUGAGUUGCGAACGGGUGAGUAACGCGUAGGUAACCUGCCUGGUAGCGGGGGAUAACUAUUGGAAACGAUAGCUAAUACCGCAUAAUAGUAGAUGUUGCAUGACAUUUGCUUAAAAGGUGCAAUUGCAUCACUACCAGAUGGACCUGCGUUGUAUUAGCUAGUUGGUGGGGUAACGGCUCACCAAGGCGACGAUACAUAGCCGACCUGAGAGGGUGAUCGGCCAUACUGGGACUGAGACACGGCCCAGACUCCUACGGGAGGCAGCAGUAGGGAAUCUUCGGCAAUGGACGGAAGUCUGACCGAGCAACGCCGCGUGAGUGAAGAAGGUUUUCGGAUCGUAAAGCUCUGUUGUAAGAGAAGAACGAGUGUGAGAGUGGAAAGUUCACACUGUGACGGUAUCUUACCAGAAAGGGACGGCUAACUACGUG